AGAGUUUGAUCCUGGCUCAGAUUGAACGCUGGCGGCAUGCCUUACACAUGCAAGUCGAACGGUAACAGGUCUUCGGAUGCUGACGAGUGGCGAACGGGUGAGUAAUACAUCGGAACGUGCCCGAUCGUGGGGGAUAACGGAGCGAAAGCUUUGCUAAUACCGCAUACGAUCUACGGAUGAAAGCAGGGGACCGCAAGGCCUUGCGCGGACGGAGCGGCCGAUGGCAGAUUAGGUAGUUGGUGGGAUAAAAGCUUACCAAGCCGACGAUCUGUAGCUGGUCUGAGAGGACGACCAGCCACACUGGGACUGAGACACGGCCCAGACUCCUACGGGAGGCAGCAGUGGGGAAUUUUGGACAAUGGGCGAAAGCCUGAUCCAGCCAUGC
rnacentral:rRNA from 1 species